GAUGAACGCUGGCGGCGUGCUUAACACAUGCAAGUCGAACGAUUAAAGCCCCUUCGGGGGUGUAUAGAGUGGCGAACGGGUGAGUAACACGUGGGCAACCUGCCCCUCACUUCGGGAUAACUCAGGGAAACCUGAGCUAAUACCGGAUACUCCGGGAUGGUCGCAUGGCCGACCCGGGAAAGUUCCGGCGGUGAGGGAUGGGCCCGCGGCCCAUUAGCUUGUUGGUGGGGUAAUGGCUCACCAAGGCGACGAUGGGUAGCCGAGCUGAGAGGCUGAUCGGCCACACUGGGACUGAGACACGGCCCAGACUCCUACGGGAGGCAGCAGUGGGGAAUCUUGCGCAAUGGGCGAAAGCCUGACGCAGCAACGCCGCGUGCGGGAUGAAGGCCUUCGGGUUGUAAACCGCUUUCAGCAGGGAUGAAACUGACAGUACCUGCAGAAGAAGCCCCGGCUAACUACGUGCCAGCCGCCGCCGUAAGAC
rnacentral:rRNA from 1 species